GACGGCCGGUCAAGUCGUGGGCCGGCGCGAGGUCGACGAUCGAGCGGAUCUCGAAGUCGUGGGUCACGGCGCGGUGAGAUCUGAUGCGGCGGUGGCGAACGGAGGCUCGAGACCUGCAGGUGCGUCGAUCGGGCGUGAGGCGGAGGGGCGGUCUUUGGGGCUCCGGCGUCGCUGGGUCGUCGGCGGAGGCUUCGGGUGCAGGUCUG
rnacentral:lncRNA from 1 species